CUUCAGCGAGCCGAGCCAGAGCGGCUGGUCGGCUGCCCGCCCCUUGCCGUACGUGGCGAGCAGCGCCUGGGCCUC
rnacentral:antisense_RNA from 1 species